AGAGUUUGAUCAUGGCUCAGGAUGAACGCUAGCUACAGGCUUAACACAUGCAAGUCGAGGGGCAGCAUGUUGGUUGCUUGCAACCAAUGAUGGCGACCGGCGCACGGGUGAGUAACGCGUAUCCAACCUACCCUUGUCCAUCGGAUAACCCGUCGAAAGGCGGCCUAACACGAUAUGCGGUUCACAGCAGGCAUCUAAGGUGAACGAAAUGUGAAGGAGAAGGAUGGGGAUGCGUCUGAUUAGCUUGUUGGCGGGGUAACGCCACAAGGCUACGAUCAGUAGGGUUCUGAGAGGAAGGUCCCCCANAUUGGAACUGAGACACGGUCCAAACUCCGUAGGGAGCA
rnacentral:rRNA from 1 species